rnacentral:rRNA from 1 species
AAUGAGGGAAACCUUGACGCAGCGAUGCCGCGUGUGGGAAGACGGCCCUAGGGUUGUAAACCACUUUCAGCAGGGACGAAAUUGACGGUACCUGCAGAAGAAGCCCCGGCCAACUACGUGCCAGCAGCCGCGGUAAUACGUAGGGGGCGAGCGUUGUCCGGAUUUAUUGGGCGUAAAGAGCUCGUAGGCGGUUCAGUAAGUCAGAUGUGAAAACUCAGGGCUCAACCCGGAGACGCCAUCUGAUACUGCUGUGACUCGAGUCCGGUAGAGGAGUGUGGAAUUUCUGGUGUAGCGGUGAAAUGCGCAGAUAUCAGAAGGAACACCAAUGGCGAAGGCAGCACUCUGGGCCGGUACUGACGCUGAGGAGCGAAAGCGUGGGGAGCAAA